rnacentral:rRNA from 1 species
GAUGAACGCUAGCGAUAGGCUUAACACAUGCAAGUCGAGGGGCAGCAUGGUCUUAGCUUGCUAAGACUGAUGGCCACCGGCGCACGGGUGCGUAACGCGUAUGCAACUUGCCUCACGGAUGGGUAUAACCCGUCGAAAGACGGACUAAUACCGCGUACACGCCAUCUUGGGCAUCCUAGGUAGAGUAAAUGAAAUUCGCUGUGAGAUAGGCAUGCGUCCCAUUAGCUAGUUGGUGAGGUAACGGCUCACCAAGGCGACGAUCGGUAGGGGAACUGAGAGGGUGCACCCCGACAGGGGUACCGGGACAAGGACCAGUGUGCUACGGGACGCAGCAGUGAGGAAUAUUGGACAAUGGAAGAGAGCCUGAAGCAGCCAAGCCGCGUGCAGGAAGACUGUGUUAUGGAUUGUAAACUUCUGUUAUAAGGCAACAACAAGAGUCACGUGUGACUCCGUGAAUGUACCGUAUGAAUAAGCAUCGGCUAACUACGUG